UACGGAGGGUCCAAGCGUUAUCCGGAAUCAUUGGGUUUAAAGGGUCCGUAGGCGGUUUUGUAAGUCAGUGGUGAAAGCCCAUCGCUCAAUGGUGGAACGGCCAUUGAUACUGCAAGACUUGAAUUAUUGGGAAGUAACUAGAAUAUGUAGUGUAGCGGUGAAAUGCUUAGAGAUUACAUGGAAUACCAAUUGCGAAGGCAGGUUACUACCAAUAUAUUGACGCUGAUGGACGAAAGCGUGGGGAGCGAACAGG
rnacentral:rRNA from 1 species